rnacentral:lncRNA from 1 species
UUUCCACUUUUAUAUAUAAUAAAGAUUCUUGACCUGCAAAUACUAAACACUAAAAUCAAUAUUUUAAUACUAUUUACUACUUAACAAAUUGAAAACAAUCAUAGAGCAAGUGGCAAAGGGCUUGGUGGUUGGUAUCCGAUACCCAAAUUUGAAUCAUAGUUGAUUCACAUUUCUAACUAAGUUUAUUUCUAAAUAAAUAAACAAAACGGGUAGUAUGCUAUCUAUCUCUCAAACAAAAAAAAAAAAAAAAAAAAAAAAAAAAAAAAAAAAAAAAUGAA